rnacentral:rRNA from 1 species
AUUGAACGCUGGCGGAAUGCUUUACACAUGCAAGUCGAGCGGCAGCACGGGGGCAACCCUGGUGGCGAGCGGCGAACGGGUGAGUAAUACAUCGGAACAUGCCCAGUCGUGGGGGAUAACACUUCGAAAGAAGUGCUAAUACCGCAUACGUCCUGAGGGAGAAAGCGGGGGAUCGCAAGACCUCGCGCGAUUGGAGUGGCCGAUGUCAGAUUAGCUAGUUGGUGGGGUAAAGGCCUACCAGGGCAACGAUCUGUAGCUGGUCUGAGAGGAUGAUCAGCCACACUGGGACUGAGACACGGCCCAGACUCCUACGGGAGGCAGCAGUGGGGAAUUUUGGACAAUGGGGGCAACCCUGAUCCAGCCAUUCCGCGUGAGUGAAGAAGGCCUUCGGGUUGUAAAGCUCUUUCGGCAGGAACGAAACGGCGAGCUCUAACAUAGCUUGCUAAUGACGGUACCUGAAGAAGAAGCACCGGCUAACUACGUG